rnacentral:rRNA from 1 species
UGGGGAAUUGUUCGCAAUGGGCGCAAGCCUGACCCAGCAACGCCGCGUGAAGGAUGAAAUCCCUCGGGAUGUAAACUUCGCAAGAACGGGAAGAAUAAGUAAGGGUUAAUAUCUCUUACGAUGACGGUACUGUUUGUAAGCUCCGGCUAACUCCGUG